GGGGAUAGCUCAGUGGUAGAGCGCAUGCUUAGCAUUCUUGAGGUCCUGAGUUCAAUUCCCAGCACCUCUA
rnacentral:tRNA from 1 species